ACGCCUACAGUGCGCUCCCCCUCACUCCUUUUCCUCGGAGUGCCCGGCCCCGGCCCCCUUCUGCCCCUUUCCCCGGCAGGGUGAUACUUUGUCAAGCCGUAAUCCAACCCUGCUAAACCCGCGGGUAGAGCUGAAGCGCUGCGAUGAAUCUCGGCAGACUCAUUCCUCUCCUCGAGAGCUUGCUGCCCUUAGAAAUGACUUCAGCGCGCUUUUGCAAGUGUAAAGGGAAAUCAAGAUCCCCUCUUCAUGUCUCUUGAUCUUCACCAGACUAGAAGAACCUGUAGUUCUUAGAGCUGCAGUGGAAAGUGACCUGUUGUGUUUGUGGAAGCUCUGGAAUCCUGCAGGAGAAGGAUCACUCAGCACCGUGGCAAUCUGCCAAGUACAACUUGUUCUGAAACACAGUGGCUCUGAGAAGUUGCAUUAUCAACUGAAACACAAUGUCAGCUUAGCAGGAGGUUGCUGGCUGACCCUUCUACACAGAGGUGGGGGUGGGGAACAACAUCAGUCUAGACAGAAGAGGACAACAACUAGCUGUCCACUCAGGCUGCAGAUUAGAGCUCUUCUUUAUGGAAACAAACAGCAGCAGCCAUGCCGAAACCUGAUUUYGACUCCAUUCUUGUCAUAGAAUCUAAUUUUUAGUGACCAUUAUACAAGGAAUAUUUUGGCAUCCUGGUCUUAUUUAUAAUUAAAAUUCUGUAUUAUUUUUAUUAAAAGCAAAUAAUAAAUGGGGCUAAUCUGUUUCA
ensembl:lncRNA